UACGUAGGGGGCAAGCGUUGUCCGGAAUCAUUGGGCGUAAAGAGCGUGUAGGCGGCCAGAAAAGUCCGCUGUGAAAACUCGAGGCUCAACUUCGAGCUGUCGGUGGAAACUUUCUGGCUAGAGUCCGGAAGAGGAGAAUGGAAUUCCUGGUGUAGCGGUGAAAUGCGCAGAUAUCAGGAAGAACACCCGUGGCGAAGGCGGUUCUCUGGGACGUAACUGACGCUGAGGAGCGAAAGCGUGGGGAGCGAACAGG
rnacentral:rRNA from 1 species